rnacentral:rRNA from 1 species
GGGACAGCCUCGGGAAACCGUGGGUAAUACCGGAUACUCCGGGACGGCCGCAUGGCCGGCCCGGGAAAGCCAGACGGGAGGGGAUGGGCCCGCGGCCUGUUAGCUAGUCGGCGGGGUAACGGCCCACCGAGGCGAUUAUGGGUAGCCGGGUUGAGAGACCGACCGGCCAGAUUGGGACUGAGACACGGCCCAGACUCCUACGGGAGGCAGCAGUGGGGAAUCUUGCGCAAUGGGCGGAAGCCUGACGCAGCGACGCCGCGUGCGGGACGAAGGCCUUCGGGUCGUAAACCGCUUUCAGCAGGGACGAGGCCCUCACGGUGACGGUACCUGCAGAAGAAGCCCCGGCUAACUACGUGCCAGCAGCCGCGGUAAUACGUAGGGGGCGAGCGUUAUCCGGAUUCAUUGGGCGUAAAGCGCGCGUAGGCGGCCUGUUAGGUCGGGGGUCAAAUACCGGGGCUCAACCCCGGUCCGCCCCCGAUACCGGCAGGCUUGAGUCUGGUAGGGGAAGGCGGAAUUUCCAGUGUAGCGGUGGAAUGCGCAGAUAUUGGGAAGAACACCGGCGGCGAAGGCGGCCUUCUGGGCCACGACUGACGCUGAGGCGCGAAAGCUAGGGGAGCGAACAGGAUUAGAUACCCUGGUAGUCCUAGCCGUAAACGAUGGACGCUAGGUGUGGGGG